rnacentral:rRNA from 1 species
AGCCAGGCUAACUCUGUGCCAGCAGCCGCGGUAAUACAGAGGGUGCAAGCGUUAAUCGGAUUUACUGGGCGUAAAGCGCGCGUAGGCGGCUAAUUAAGUCAAAUGUGAAAUCCCCAGAGCUUAACUUAGGGAAUUGCAUUNCGAUACUGGUUAGNCUAGAGUGUGGGAGAGGAUGGUAGAAUUCCAGGUGUAGCGGUGAAAAUGCGUAGAGAUCUGGAGGAAUACCGAUGGGCGAAGGCAGCCAUUCUGGCCUAACACUGACGCUGAAGGUGCGAAAGCAUGGGGGAGCAAAACAGGAUUAGAUUAC